CCCGGGCCUUGUACACACCGCCCGUCACGUCACGAAAGUUGGUAACACCCGAAGCCGACGGCCUAACCCACUGUGUGGGAGGGAGUUGUCGAAGGUGGGACUGGCGAUUGGGACG
rnacentral:rRNA from 1 species